CAGCUUGCUGGGUGGAUUAGUGGCGAACGGGUGAGUAACACGUGAGCAACCUGCCCCUGACUCUGGGAUAAGCGCUGGAAACGGCGUCUAAUACUGGAUACGAACAAGAAUCGCAUGGUUACUUGUUGGAAAGAUUUUUCGGUUGGGGAUGGGCUCGCGGCCUAUCAGCUUGUUGGUGAGGUAAUGGCUCACCAAGGCGUCGACGGGUAGCCGGCCUGAGAGGGUGACCGGCCACACUGGGACUGAGACACGGCCCAGACUCCUACGGGAGGCAGCAGUGGGGAAUAUUGCACAAUGGGCGCAAGCCUGAUGCAGCAACGCCGCGUGAGGGAUGACGGCCUUCGGGUUGUAAACCUCUUUUAGCAGGGAAGAAGCGAGAGUGACGGUACCUGCAGAAAAAGCACCGGCUAACUACGUGCCAGCAGCCGCGGUAAUACGUAGGGUGCAAGCGUUAUCCGGAAUUAUUGGGCGUAAAGAGCUCGUAGGCGGUUUGUCGCGUCUGCUGUGAAAUCUGGGGGCUCAACCCCCAGCCUGCAGUGGGUACGGGCAGACUAGAGUGCGGUAGGGGAGAUUGGAAUUCCUGGUGUAGCGGUGGAAUGCGCAGAUAUCAGGAGGAACACCGAUGGCGAAGGCAGAUCUCUGGGCCGUAACUGACGCUGAGGAGCGAAAGGGUGGGGAGCAAACAGGCUUAGAUACCCUGGUAGUCCACCCCGUAAACGUUGGGAACUAGUUGUGGGGUCCAUUCCACGGAUUCCGUGACGCAGCUAACGCAUUAAGUUCCCCGCCUGGGGAGUACGGCCGCAAGGCUAAAACUCAAAGGAAUUGACGGGGACCCGCACAAGCGGCGGAGCAUGCGGAUUAAUUCGAUGCAACGCGAAGAACCUUACCAAGGCUUGACAUAUACGAGAACGGGCCAGAAAUGGUCAACUCUUUGGACACUCGUAAACAGGUGGUGCAUGGUUGUCGUCAGCUCGUGUCGUGAGAUGUUGGGUUAAGUCCCGCAACGAGCGCAACCCUCGUUCUAUGUUGCCAGCACGUAAUGGUGGGAACUCAUGGGAUACUGCCGGGGUCAACUCGGAGGAAGGUGGGGAUGACGUCAAAUCAUCAUGCCCCUUAUGUCUUGGGCUUCACGCAUGCUACAAUGGCCGGUACAAUGGGCUGCAAUACCGUGAGGUGGAGCGAAUCCCAAAAAGCCGGUCCCAGUUCGGAUUGAGGUCUGCAACUCGACCUCAUGAAGUCGGAGUCGCUAGUAAUCGCAGAUCAGCAACGCUGCGGUGAAUACGUUCCCGGGUCUUGUACACACCGCCCGUCAAGUCAUGAAAGUCGGUAACACCUGAAGCCGGUGGCCUAACCCC
rnacentral:rRNA from 1 species